GAGGGUCCCUGAUCUCUCUCAUUUUCAUUCUCUUUCUCGUCUUUAUCCUGAGCUUUCUUCUGUAUUUAAAGAGGUUUUAUCAAAGGGAGAAAAAGGCUCUUCUUUCUCUUUUGAAAGAGAAAUUGUCGAGAGACAAUCGAGUGUUAUUCUUUCUCUUCGUUCUCUUCAUCAAUAUUUAGGAUACCAAAAAGGAGAAGUACCAAAAACAGUUUACAAAA
rnacentral:ribozyme from 13 species